GGCGCGUCCGUUCAAAAAAAAAAAAAACGGGGAAACUCACCAGGUCCAGACACAGUAAGGAUUGACAGAUUGAUAGCUUUUUCUUGAUUUUGUGGUUGGUGGUGCAUGGCCGUUCUUAGUUGGUGGAGUGAUUUGUCUGCUUAAUUGCGAUAACGAACGAGACCUGCGACGCGAAAUGCGACCGCGGAGUGAUUAGUAGUCACACUUAUGCGGCAAACAUGUUAUUGUUACCGAGGAUGGAAGUUGGAGGCAAUAACAGGUCUGUGAUGCCCUUAGAUGUUCUGGGCCGCACGCGCGCUAC
rnacentral:ncRNA from 1 species